rfam:Stegodyphus mimosarum contig69080, whole genome shotgun sequence.
GCCUUAGUGGUGUAAUGGUAGCCCACUCGGCGCGUAUUCCAGAAGCCCAGGUUCAAGUCCCGGCAAGGGCA